rnacentral:tRNA from 1 species
GGAGAGAUGGCCGAGUGGUUUAAGGCGGCGGUCUUGAAAACCGUUGUGCCGAAAGGUACCGGGGGUUCGAAUCCCUCUCUCUCCGCCA